UAUACUAGGUGUUGUUUAAUGUGGUUUGUCUGUGUGGAGGAAUACAUCAAAGUGUUUAUUAAUGUAGAUAUUUCUUUGUUUGUUUCUUUUAAGCGGCGUUUCCACUACAGUGUAGCUCGCCUCGGUGUCAAAUUAAUAAAUAAAAAAAUAUCUACACCCAGCGUUGUUCAGCGCAGAUAUUUCUUUGUUUGUUUCUUUUGAGCGGCGUUUACACUACAUCGUAGCUCGCCUCGGUGUUAAAAGAAUAAACA